rnacentral:rRNA from 1 species
UGAACGCUGGCGGCGUGCCUACUACAUGCACAUCGAGCGAACAGACGAGGAGCUUGCUCCUCUGACGUUAGCGGCGGACGGGUGAGUAACACGUGGAUAACCUACCUAUAAGACUGGGAUAACUUCGGGAAACCGGAGCUAAUACCGGAUAAUAUAUUGAACCGCAUGGUUCAAUAGUGAAAGACGGUUUUGCUGUCACUUAUAGAUGGAUCCGCGCCGCAUUAGCUAGUUGGUAAGGUAACGGCUUACCAAGGCAACGAUGCGUAGCCGACCUGAGAGGGUGAUCGGCCACACUGGAACUGAGACACGGUCCAGACUCCUACGGGAGGCAGCAGUAGGGAAUCUUCCGCAAUGGGCGAAAGCUUGACGGAGCAACGCCGCGUGAGUGAUGAAGGUCUUCGGAUCGUAAAACUCUGUUAUUAGGGAAGAACAAAUGUGUAAGUAACUAUGCACGUCUUGACGGUGCCUAAUCAGAAAGCCACGGCUAACUACGUG